rnacentral:lncRNA from 1 species
UCCUCCAUGCCAUGCCACAUAAGAGAGUGGACCCCUCAUGCAAUUCCAUGAGAUUUGGUGCCCCAGGUCCUACCAAAAAUGAAGGAAGGUGCUAACUUUUCUUCCCAUUUAUUCCACACACAACUUAGAGAUAAUUAGGAGAUAAUGUAGAGAUAAUAUUAGGAUAAUUAUGCCAACUAAUUGACUUAAUCAAAUUCUCUUAGGC